GCGAGCAUUCACCACCUUUGAAUUUCAUGAAUCAUGUUAUGUUUGUAAGUUUAUGUAAGUUUUACCAACGAGAUAUGCGAAGUUGAUAUUUUCAGUCCAAGGAGCCUCCGAGACCACUGAAAACUAGUGGCCGGAGGGUCCGUGAAGGCAGCAUCGCUCCUGGACGGGCCAGUCGUGUGACAUGUUCCCUACGGAUAAACAAACCCACUGUCGCAUAUGGCUCCAAGGAGCAUUUGGAGCUCACGGUGUAACUAUCGCGCUUAAUAUCGAAUAUCAAGUAAGAGAAGACGAACGCAGCGAAAGCGAAGUGACGUUGCAAUGUUCGAAUCCGCUGUGAGUGUCCUGGUCUGCAUGCUGCAUAUCUGUCGCCCAUCCACAUGUCUUUGAGCUCAUGAUCCACUCUGUAGAGAUAACCGUAUCACCUGUGCAUGCUGAACUUUGACUGUGGCACAAUGAGAAAAGAGAGAGAUAACCCUCUGGUAUUGUCGUCCAAGAAACCAUGCCAGGGCCAAGCAAGUAUUGGACAUGUUCUAAAAACGCUACAUGCUGUUUUGGAAGUGGAAGAGGAGCAAACAGGGGAGGCCCUCUAUGUGGGGCACCUUCAGGAACCACAAGGGACCGUGAGGGAGGUGACUUCUAGAUGUGCGUGCCGACAAAGCAAACACUCCAGCAGACCACGUUGUCCCUUUGAAGACAGUGGGCAAUACAGUAACAAUGAGGCAGGUAGUGGCACACGCAAAACGCGGACAAAUGUGGAGCAGCUGCUGCUGAUGCUGUCUGGGAAGAUAAAUAGUGAGCAGGGAGUCAAUAAAUUAGAACGGCAGGAACUGGAGCUAGAAAAAGCCAUCGUCCUCUGCCACUUACUAGACACCCACCAAGAUUUUUUGCACAAAAGACAGAUUGCAAGACAAUUAACCCAAGAUGGCAGCAGCUUCAAUCAAAUUGUGCCUCAUCUAACCCACUCUGGGACCUCCGCAUGUGGAUCCAAAAUCACCCCUUGUCCAUCCAAGAAGAAAACCAAACAGGACCGGCCGAUACUGCAGCCAGUCAGCAGUGACUUGUGUGUACAUGACGCCUGUACCGCGAGUGUAGCAGCGGACACCUGUUGGAGCAGUGCUCUGAAAAUUUGUCGCCUUUACAACACCCCCCAUGCACGACACAACGACCGGCCCCCCUACUCCACACAGUCUCCUGGGUCAGACGAGGUCCCUCCCUUCAAAUGCAUGGACAGAAACAUGGAGAAUGGUGCAGACUACCGGUUUCUGGUAAGGCAAAACUUUGAACUCUUGCGUGCUCUCGAUGAGCUUAAGAAGACAUGCAGCAUACUGAGGGAGGAAAAUUGCCUGCUGCGGAAGAGCAGUGCUCCAGAAACCGAGGAGAAGGUCAGGCGGCUGAGGAGAAAGAACACAGAGCUGGCAGUGCUUGCCAAAAGGCUGGAGGAGAGGGCCCGGAAAUUGCAGGAGGCUAACCUCAAAAUGCUGAGUUCACCGUCACUGAUAAGGCCUGGAUCAGUGGAACAAUACAAGAGGGCAUUUGCACGUCAGCGAGCACGUGACCUGGCCCAACACGCAGAUGCGCUGUUGUGCAAAGACAAGGAGAUCGCUGCGCUUCAGAAGGACUUUAGGGAACUGGAGGCACGACUGGACACUGCUGAAUUUGAACGUUUUUACCCUCCCUUUGUAAGGAAUGCAUCAGCCUGGCCUUUGUGGCACUUGUUGACACAAGCCUGCUCUCUGCUGGACAAAAAUUGUACUGCUAAAAACCCUGCCCUUAACACGAACACACAGGCAGGCAGGCUUUCAGCUGUAUGGAUUUUGGUUUUGGUAUCAACAGAUGAAUAUGUGACAAGAGGUCAACAUGUCUGCUUUUAUUUUCAGGGUUCCCCUAUCCCUUCAAGGAGAGGGCAAUUCGAGAAACUUCUCAGGGAGUCUCAAAGAGAAGUUUUACGGCUCCAAAGGCAGUUGGCCAUCAUCUCAACCACAGAGCACCAAAACCACAAUCCUGAUCCUGGUGGGACAGAGAAGUGUGAGAUUUUUGCUGUGGUCAAGACUCCAGAAGAGAAGGUUGUAGGAGAGACCCCAUGUGUGCCAUUCGAUGAAUCUCCAGCACGGUGUGAGAAAACUCCUGGAAAGGAGGAGGAGUCGGGGCUGCCAGUGACGCCCCACUUGGGCCUCAGCCUGACCCCCUCCGAUCAGGAGAAAAAUUCAGAGGAGAAGCAUCUUCACUAUCUGGAGAGUGAGUUGACAAAGAAGAGAAAAGAAUGUGAAAAUCUUGAGCAUGAAGCAAAGAAGCGGCAGAAGAAAUGCCUGGAUUUGGAGAGCCAGCUUGAGGAUGAGCAGGGCAAAAAUGAGAAACUAAAGGAGGAGGCAGAUCUCCUCAGGAGGAAGGCACAACUGCUCGACCAGACUCGAGUUGACAAUGAGGAGUUGAGGGAAGAACUCUCUAAAGUGACCGCUCAACACAAUUCAGUUCUCGAGGAGAACCAGAGACUCUGUGCCAAACUGGAGAACCUAGAGCAGGUCCUAAAGCAUAUGCGAGAGGUCGCUGAGCGAAGGCAGCAGUUGGAAUUGGAACAUGAGCAGGCUCUGGCUAUCCUUAAGUUCAAGCAGGAUGAAAUCAAACGGUUACAACGGGCCCAGUUAUUUGCCAAGAGGGAGCAUGAAGGGGUGGUCCAGAUGUUGGAGGAGUUGACUCAGCUUGUGUUGCAGAGGGAGCUGUCAAAGGUGCGAGAUCUGGAGGAGAAGUGUCGUAGCCAGAGUGAACAGUUUGGCUUGUUGUCCCGGGAGUUGGACAAGUUUCGACUGCAGGCGUCAAAGGUGGACCUUGCUGGUGCCAGCCUUCUUAACCACUCAGGCCUCUCUGUUCUGACAAAUGGAGUCGGCUUGUCUACAGAGCGAGACUGUACAGAUGGCUCCUGGGAUAUGGAGUCUCUGAGUGAAAUAGCCUUCUGGAGUCUCGAGGGAGGUGACACUCUCUCCUGCCCUGAGGAUGUGGCUGCUGCACUACGCAUGGGUACCACCCCCCAUGCUGCAGGGCUGUCCAGGGUGGAGCGUUCGCCGGUCACCAAACAUCGAGAGCUUCCCACAAUCAGUGUCAGCAAGUCAGCUUCAUCCUCCAGCAAGUCUGAGACCACGAACCGAACCCCAAAGUCUGACACCCACCUUAGUCCGCACAAAUCAAGCCCAACACAUGAGGUUGACACUGCAAGUGAGGUGGAGGAGUUGGAUGUUGACAUUGCUGCUGCACCAUACACUGCUAGCGGAGGAGCAUCAAAGCUUCAGGUUUAUAUUGCACGAUACAGCUAUAAUCCUUACGAUGGCCCCAAUGAUAACCCUGAAAUGGAGCUACCACUCACUGCUGGAGAAUACAUUUAUGUGUAUGGAGGCAUGGAUGAUGAUGGCUUCUAUGAAGGCGAGUUGGUAGAUGGAACUAGAGGACUUGUCCCCUCUAAUUUUGUGGAACGUGUAUCAGAUGAUGAUAUCAUGGGUACUCAUCCACCAGCGACUACUGAUACAACCCAAAACUCCUCUCUAGACAGCAGUUUGCACAGUGCCAGCCACCAGCGUCACCUCCACACAAGUGUCCGUGCCUCGGAUAGAAUAGAGGCCUCUUCUGUCCCUGGCCCCGCCUCAGCCUCUUCCAAUUCGGCCUUGGCUGUCUCAGCCCCCCUCACCAAUGGCCUGGACUUGGAUUUGGAGGAGGUGGGAGUGGACACUGUGCCUUACCCACGUAAGCUCACCCUCAUCAAGCAGCUUGCCAAGAGCAUCAUAAUCAGUUGGGAUCCUCCAUUGGUGCCAGCUGGGUGGGGCAAUGUGUGGAGUUAUAAUGUGUAUGUGGACCAAGAGCUCCGGCUCAAUGUGCCCUUCGGUGCCCAGACCAAGGCAGUGCUGGAAAGACUCGACGUCAACCUUAAAGCCUACCGUGUAUCUGUGCAGAGCCUAACAGAGAAGGGCCUCUCAGACCAGCUGCGCUGCAGUAUGCUCAUUGGUAGGGACGUCUGUGUGGCCCCCACGCAGCUGCGUGUAGACAGGAUCACCGCCACCUCUGCCAACCUGUCCUGGCUGCCUAGCAACAGCAACUAUGUGCACAUUGUGUCCUUGAAUGAGCAAGAGUGUGAGCUGGUGAAGGCUGGCUGCUAUACGCUGUGCCUCAAUAACCUCUUACCCAGCCUGCAGUACACAGUCAAAGUGGAGGGGCGGCCACACCGCACGCCUUGGGAGUUACCUGUGGAGCGUCGUGAACGCAGAAGUGCUAGCAUCAACUUCAGCACACUCAUGGCAGGCCCUCCUGAUGCUCCACUGGAUGUACAGUUGGAGCAUGGUCCUUCACCAGGUAUUGCCCUCAUCAGCUGGUUACCGGUCACUAUCGAUUGUGCAGGGACCUCCAACGGAGUCCGUGUCACUGGUUACGUUAUAUAUGCGGAUGGGAAAAAGGUCCUGGAGUUGUCUUCUCCGACAGCCGGCAGUGCACUGCUGGGGCCCUCCCAGAUCCAAUCCCUCCAGGCGGCUCAGGAGCUCACUGUUCGCACAAUGUCUGCACACGGGGAGUCUUGUGACUCAUUUCCAGUCAAUGUGCCCUCCAAGCUAGCUGCUAUUAUGGCUGGCCCAGUUGCAACCACCCCGGUAGUGCCACGCCUCACUUGUAACCCUGUAGGACCCAAUAACUUGUCCUCUUUGCUUUCUGAUGGAAACUCUGCUGCCAAAGUCUCCACGCUGCCCUGCCCGUCACAUCCAGAUAGAAAUAUUCCUGGCCUCACAGUGAAGCCUGGUGUCAACUGUCCUGUUGUCCCACACUCUGAGGUCUUAGUGUCAUCAUCCUCAUUUGCACAGGCCUGGGCUGACCCCACAUCUGCUCCCAUGCCUGUGUGUGAAGCUACAUUACCCGUUUCAUCAAUCAUAACCCCAGUGAUAAAUGUGACGUCCCCUACGUUGUCAGCUCCUCAAGCGGCCUCUGUAAUAGCACCCGCACAAACAGCAGAGGUGGUACCAGCGGUCACACUGGAUCAACGCAGAGAUGCAGACAGCCCCGGAAGUAUACGUCCUUUUCCAUCCAUCACAGAGUUCAUUGAGGAUCCCUGUGCCAAACUUGGAGCGCCGGAGCGUAUUCCCACACCACCCAAAGCCCCAAUCACAGACCUCCUUAAUCCUCUGGACACAUUAAUCCUGCGACCCCCCAGUACUUCACCACUGGACUCUGAGGUUGAGGAGGAACAAGAGAACAAACGCUUAGUGUCAAUUGAGGAGUUCUUGAGAGAGGACCGGGACCCAGCGUACACAAGGACGCAAGAGAGCUAUGGCACAAGGUUGAUCGAGCUUCCUAGUGACUACCUCGCUGAUAACAGCCGCUCAGACCUGUCUGACAUACUAGAAGAGGAAGAAGAGGAACUUUUCUCUGACCACAUUGUGGAAGUACCCACCAGGGGAUACACAGUUACAGCUGGCAGAGAGCCGAGUCAACAAACUGAAGCAAGUCCAUCAGGGGGGCCAAACUCCAAACAAUCUUCUAAUUCAUCUGAUUUGCAGAGCAGGCAGCUCAAAGCUUGUUUUGAAUCACCAAAGACAAAAGGGGACAAAGGUGAAGUUCGCAUCUUUGUGGCCCUUUUUCCUUACGACCCUGCCACCAUGUCACCCAACCCGGAUGCUGCUGAGGAGGAGCUGCCCUUUCGAGAGGGACAGAUCAUCAUAGUUUGCGGGGAUAAAGACUCUGAUGGGUUCUACAGAGGGGAGUCUGGUGGUCGUUUCGGUUAUGUGCCUUGCAACAUGGUGUCUGAGAUCCAGGUGGAGGAUGAAGAAACCCGGCUGCAGCUUUUGGAACAGGGCUUCUUAUCGACACCAGCAGCCAUAGAAAAAAUUGGCACUCGCACACAUGCACAGCUUCCACGUCGCCCUGUUCCACCACCGAAACCGAGACGAUCCAAGAAAGUGGAGUCUGUAGCACUCUGGGAGGAGAAUGUAGACUCCACCAAUAAAGAUCCAAGCCAGGCAGCCGCUGCAACUGCAGCAAACCCCAAGCCCGGAUCUCGCCAGAUGGUGGCCAUCUUUGAUUAUGAUCCACGAGAGAGCUCCCCAAACACUGAUAUUGAGGCCGAGUUGACCUUCAGUGCCGGAGACAUCAUCCAUGUGCUUGGUGAAAUGGAUGAAGAUGGCUUCUUCUAUGGCGAUUUGAAUGGACAACAAGGCCUAGUGCCCUCCAACUUCUUGCAGGCUUUACCAGAAGAUGCCCCAGCAGAACACAUCUCAGCUCAGCCUGCACCAGAGCAAAAAAAGGAAUUGCAGGAAAGCUCCUCUCUCGAGGUCCAAGAUGGCGGUUCCUCAACAAGCCAAGAUACUCUGAUCCCACAAACAGAAGCUCCUUGCUCGCAUCCAGUAGAACAUUCAGAACCACCACCCCAUCUGCAAGUGCCCACAAGCACCACAUCGGACCCAGGCCCAGUUCCAGGUCCUGCUCCAGGGCACGCCUCUCGUCUAAUCCCACCCCCAGCAGACAGGCCGGUGCUGGCCGACUGCUCUGCAAAUGGCAAGAAAAAGAAGGGCUUCUUCUCUAAAGGCAAGAAACUGUUCAGAAGGUUUGGAUCCAGCAAAAAAGAAUGAAAGGCAGGACCUCAGACUUAAUCUUCUUUUUUUUUUUUUUUUUCUCAAUGAAGGACUUUCUGUCUGCUCUUUGUUAUCGCAGUCAGGGGCUAUCAGAGCUGUCCAGAAUUCUACAUUUGCCUUAGUGCACUGCUUGAUUAGCUGGAAAUUACAGUGUUACCCUGUCCAAUUGUGCAAUCGCUCUACUCUCAUAGUUCCUUAUCAAAGCGUCCCGUGCUUCCAUAUGCAAUAUAAAAGAUCAAAUGUGCGGUCGUCUCCCUACUACAGAAGGCUACUGAAAGGCCUCAGCCUUCUGCGUCCAGGUAAUAACAAAAAAAAUGCUUUACACUUUAUCAACUAGAAGCAGGAGUCCACCUCAUCUGCUGCGCGACUAUUCACUCGUCCUCACGUGUUUCUGAGUGUGUGUACAUUUGUCACACUGAUCCUGCGGCAAUCGCUUUCCCUCAUUGUACACCCAGUGGAUAACUCUCUAGAGUACGUUUGAGAAGUUGUGUAAUUGUGUGUGCUCCCCAAAGCAAACACCUUUUUCAGAGAUUAACACAGGAAGUCUUUUCCUGUUGUCACCACCAUCACCACCAAGUUAUAUACACAACAUAUUUCAUGUAUUUAAAAGUUUGCAUGCAGCAUUCAUACAAAAAGAAACUUUUAGAAACCAUAAUAAAAGGUAUUAUUUAUGCACUGCAUCAAUUUGAAUUCAUAUGUACUACAUCCUCAUAAUUUUGCACAGCACGUUGGCAACGUCUUUGUUUGUCAAGUGUGGUGAAGCAGAACUUUUUUUUUUUCAAUGCGCAUAGCUGCAGGUGUUCUUGCACAUCGAGCUCAGAAAACGGCGGCUGUUUAGUUUUGUAAAAGUAGCAACACACACACAUAUGGACACACAGAUUCACACCUAAAGGGUUAGGGUUAAAAAUUUAGAUUGUCUUGGGUGAACCGACUGUACACCAAAAUACCACUGGGAGAAGCAUAGUGAGAACAUGAAAAGCCCAUGCUAAUGUUCAAACUCUAAACCUUUCUAUGGGGCAGUUCUGUUCACUAUGUUGAUGGAGAACAGUUGAGUUCAAAUGCAAUAGUGUACAGCGCUUCAUUUUUUUGUAUAUCCUACUGAACUCUUCUGAACAAAUUUUGUGACUUGAAGGCAAGAGCACACAGGUGCAUCUCAAGUUUGUUUCCCUCGUGGGCCUCAUCAUAGUUGUGGUUGCCUUCAGGGAGGCACUUAUAACAAAUAUAGAAUUCACAUUGGCGUAAUGGUCCACCCAAAAACGUUGUAUGGUACUGUCAAUACUUUGGUUUUAAGUUCACCUUUCAGUUGAGAACAAAUGACUUAUCUCCGGUAACGAGGGACAGAUUUAAGGAUGUUCAAAAUACACAUUAACAUCUCCAAGCUUUUCUUUUAAGGAAAGCGCAAGAUCAAUAGUUAGUCCUCCUUUAUCGUAAAUAAUCUGUGCAGAUGAGGGCAACAGUAACCAUUUGCAUUAUUAGUCAAUAAAAAUACUAACCAUGGAUUUGUUAUUGGUUGUGCGCCAUUUGAAAAGCCUGGGAGAGGCUCUUUAAUGCUGCUUGUGCGGGUACGCUAAUAAUCUCCCAGUAGUAUUAUAUAAUUGCCGCGCCAAUCAAUUAAUACCUUUUUUUUUUUUUUGCUAUAGUGGUAACUAAUUUUGUAAAAAAAAAAAAAAAAAGAACUGGACAGAAAAAUUGCUAUCGUGUGACUCAGUGUCAGCUUCAUCAUGUUUGUGAGCCCACGUGGUGUGGCUUUAGUCUUUGUGUCUACCCAAGUGUGGUCACUACAGUGUUAUAACUUAACUGUGUGCAGUAUUUUCAGUCCACUUUACGUUUUUCACACACUUGUGGAUGACGUGUAGUGUGAGUGUGCUGUACUGUGUGAAACUAUAUUUCCAUUGCAGUUGAAGUGAGUGUGCGUCCGAGCUCGUCACAUAACAUUGUGACUCCUGUUGGUAACUUCUCAGGUUAUUCACUAUGUAGCUUGCGUAGCCUCCCGUCAAAAAAGUGGAAAAAGUGCAGAAAAUGCCAAACUCUUUAGGUGCUUUUAGUUCACUUCGUUUAGCUACAAAGGAAGAGGAUCUAGUCACGCUCCUGUCGUGUCACUCACUUUAGUUACACGUUAAGCAGUUAAGUAAUUAGUCGCUGUUAGCCAGAAGGAGCAUGAAGAUGCCAAGACUAUAAAAAGGAGGCGGCAGGGGCGGGGCAUCGCAUGGGCGCUUUAUUUGUAAAUUAGCCGGGACAUAAGCAAGACUGAGGAUGUAAUGGUCUUUUUUUGUUUGCUUGUUUUUGUUUUGUUUUCAGAAGACGGGAGUUUCUGAAGUGUACAGUUGUUUUGGUAUUUACGGCCUUGAAUGCACAAGUAUUAUGUCUACCUGCUGUUUAGUUAGUAGACCGCACUUCUCCUACUCGGCAUCGCGGCCACAUACGCAUAGUUGACAGUAUUUAGCCUUACCAGAAGACGUUGCUUAGUCUUAAUAUGUUGUUUACAGAAUGUUUAUUGAUUGCAUGAAUACCAAUAUUAUGCCCAAAUUCUGCCUUAUUAUUUAUUUAUUUAUUCAUUUGUUUCAUCUCCAUGUUUUCUUUGUCUGACACGUCUACAAUGUGAGUUGUAGAUGGUCUAAAAUGCAGUGAAAAAGUAGUUGGAGUUGUGUAUAUAAUGGACUGUUUGGACUCCCCCCCCCCACCUCUCCUACAUUUAUAAUGUAAAACCUUUUUUAUAUGAUGUAAAAAAAUGCUUUUAUGACCUAAAUAGAAGCUCAUCUGUAAAUAUUUUUAAUAUUGUUUUUGCAUGUUGGUAUGGUGAAGGCGUAGAAUGCAAAAGAAUUGAAAUAUGGGUCUUUUCGCAUAUAAAAUAAAGUAUGUAUAUUUUCACACAAAACAGAAGCACUCAGAGCAUGUGUAUUUCUUAAUUGUGAAAGAAAGGAUGCCAAAGAUUUGACUGACUCUUUAUUUCAUCCCUAUGACAUUUAAUUGAAUGUACGUACACGAUUGACCCCAAACCCGAGUUGAAGUGAUGAUAAAACAGAGGAAAGAGUUUGCAGGCUUUGCUGCAUGCUACACAGCACCCAUGUGACAUAGCAGCGACAACACUCUGGGUAACAUAUGUAGCCUCGCGAGACAAAAGCCGCUUCCUCUUUUUGGACUUCCGGGGAGAGGCCGCCGUUUAUUUGUUCCCUGAAGCCAACAGUACACUCAUCCAUAAAGUAGGAAACACUACACUGUGGCGAGGAGUUUAGUAGUGCUUUCUACUUUAUGGAUGACUGCACUGUAUAUCUGCUGGACUUCUGUUAUCUGUAGUCUCCUCUUCUGGCUGCACCUGCACAUGAACACAACAACCCCCAACCCCCUUUCCACUAAGACUCUGGAAACCACACGUGAAUGUUGCACGUUAAAAAUGUUCAACGUGCAACCUUCUCUUCCCUAUCGCCCCAUAAAACAAUUACUUCUUCACUUGAAAAGUGUAUUUGAUUAGUUUAGUUGGUAAUCUUUUUUUCCCCCCAAAGGUAGAAAAAUGGCCACCGCAUAAACACCACAGCAAGUACUAUCUUGAGGAAGCCAUUUUGGCUGGGCGAUCGUCUUCGUCCAGCCGAGCGGGUGCCGUCGCCCAGCUCCACAAGUGAACGAAGAAGAAGAAGUUGUCUCCUUUUGAACCCUCCUCAACCACGUGAUGUAACCACAGGAAAGAGGUCUAACAGUCACAGCCGCUCUCCUUCUGGUCUUCCGUCUUAACACUUUGCCUCCUACAGAUGGUUAGAAGAAGAAAAUAUGGGCAGACAGGUUAGAAUGUCGUUUUUUUCCAGCCAUUAAAACACAAACUACUUGGGGAGAUGAUAUAUCUACUUGAACUAAAUGUGAGAAUCUUCUGUGUUCAGUUGGUGUAAUUGCCAAAAUAUUUCUAUUUUCUGUUUGACUAAUUUUCAAAUCAACUUUUUCAAUAUUAACUUUGCCUAUUUAAGUCAAAUGAAGGCCGAUUUUGGCCUUUGACACGUGCACCUAAAUGCAUCGCUACAAGAGCGCAAGUAAAUUAACAUAUUUGGAAAUCAUUUAAAGAGAGUAUUACUCUUAAGGAAUCCGAUUCGUUAGGCAGUUUGUUUUCCCGUUUUUUUUUUUUUCUCGUUUGUUUUUUUUUGUAAAUGUAA